AUACGUAGGGGGCGAGCGUUGUCCGGAAUGAUUGGGCGUAAAGGGCGCGUAGGCGGCCCGGUAAGUCUGGGGUGAAAGUCCUGUUUUUAAGAUGGGAAUUGCUUUGGAUACUGUCGGGCUUGAGUGCAGGAGAGGUAAGUGGAAUUCCCAGGGUAGCGGUGAAAUGCGUAGAGAUUGGGAGGAACACCAGUGGCGAAGGCGACUUACUGGACUGUAACUGACGCUGAGGCGCGAAAGUGUGGGGAGCAAACAGGAUUAGAUACCCUGGUAGUCCACACUGUAAACGAUGAAUGCUAGGUGUAGGGGGUAUCGACCCCUUCUGUGCCGCAGUCAACACAAUAAGCAUUCCGCCUGGGGAGUACGGCCGCAAGGUUGAAACUCAAAUGAAUUGACGGGG
rnacentral:rRNA from 1 species